UUUUAAUGAGAGUUUGAUCCUGGCUCAGGACGAACGCUGGCGGCGUGCCUAAUACAUGCAAGUAGAACGCUGAGGUUUGGUGUUUACACUAGACUGAUGAGUUGCGAACGGGUGAGUAACGCGUAGGUA
rnacentral:rRNA from 3 species